GAUUUCGUAGCCAAGUUGGUUAAGGCAUCGGACUGCAACUCCGAGGACGUGAGUUCGACUCUCACCGAAAUCU
rnacentral:tRNA from 1 species